rnacentral:snRNA from 1 species
ACAUGCAAGGCAAACGCCUUACCCGUGGUGCUAUGGCUCCAGCAUGCUUGAUCAAACAGGGUAGCCUUCCCUAUAUAGAGAAGAACUGGUCUUCAGUCAAGGGUAUAUGAGUAAAUGCGCUCCCCUGCUAGAACCUCCGAACAAGCUCUCUCAAGGAGAAAAAAGAUAAAAAUAAUUUUAUUUUUAUUUAUUUUUGUUUCGGGUCAUU